rnacentral:rRNA from 1 species
UACGAAGGGGGCAAGCGUUGUUCGGAAUUACUGGGCGUAAAGGGCGCGUAGGCGGCUUAUCAAGUCAGGCGUGAAAUUCCCGGGCUCAACCUGGGGGCUGCGCUUGAUACUGAUUGGCUUGAAUGCGGGAGAGGAUAGUGGAAUUCCCAGUGUAGAGGUGAAAUUCGUAGAUAUUGGGAAGAACACCGGUGGCGAAGGCGACUAUCUGGCCCGUAAUUGACGCUGAGGCGCGAAAGCGUGGGGAGCAAACAGG